GAGAUGAUGGCUCAGUGGUUAAGAGCACUGGCUGUUCUUCCAGAGGACCUGGGUUCAACUCCAAGUUUCCACA
rnacentral:tRNA from 1 species